AGUGGCGAACGGGUGAGUAACACGUGAGUAACCUGCCCCUGACUUCGGGAUAACCACGAGAAAUCGUGGCUAAUACCGGAUAUGAGGUCUGCCCGCAUGGGUGGGUCUGGAAAGAUUUAUCGGUUGGGGAUGGGCUCGCGGCCUAUCAGCUUGUUGGUGGGGUGAUGGCCUACCAAGGCGACGACGGGUAGCCGGCCUGAGAGGGUGACCGGCCACACUGGGACUGAGACACGGCCCAGACUCCUACGGGAGGCAGCAGUGGGGAAUAUUGCACAAUGGGCGCAAGCCUGAUGCAGCGACGCCGCGUGAGGGAUGACGGCCUUCGGGUUGUAAACCUCUUUCAGUAGGGAAGAAGCCGCUUCGGUGGUGACGGUACCUGCAGAAGAAGCGCCGGCUAACUACGUGCCAGCAGCCGCGGUAAUACGUAGGGCGCAAGCGUUGUCCGGAAUUAUUGGGCGUAAAGAGCUCGUAGGCGGUUUGUCGCGUCUGCUGUGAAAACCUCAGGCUUAACCUGGGGCUUGCAGUGGGUACGGGCAGGCUAGAGUGCGGUAGGGGAGACUGGAAUUCCUGGUGUAGCGGUGGAAUGCGCAGAUAUCAGGAGGAACACCGGUGGCGAAGGCGGGUCUCUGGGCCGUUACUGACGCUGAGGAGCGAAAGCAUGGGGAGCGAACAGGAUUAGAUACCCUGGUAGUCCAUGCCGUAAACGUUGGGCACUAGGUGUGGGAUCCAUUCCACGGGUUCCGUGCCGCAGCUAACGCAUUAAGUGCCCCGCCUGGGGAGUACGGCCGCAAGGCUAAAACUCAAAGGAAUUGACGGGGGCCCGCACAAGCGGCGGAGCAUGCGGAUUAAUUCGAUGCAACGCGAAGAACCUUACCAAGGCUUGACAUACACCGGAAAAGUGCAGAGAUGUGCUCCCCGUAAGGUCGGUGUACAGGUGGUGCAUGGNUGUCGUCAGCUCGUGUCGUGAGAUGUUGGGUUAAGUCCCGCAACGAGCGCAACCCUCGUCCUGUGUUGCCAGCGGGUUAUGCCGGGGACUCAUGGGAGACUGCCGGGGUCAACUCGGAGGAAGGUGGGGAUGACGUCAAAUCAUCAUGCCCCUUAUGUCUUGGGCUUCACGCAUGCUACAAUGGCCGGUACAAAGGGCUGCGAAACCGUGAGGUGGAGCGAAUCCCAAAAAGCCGGUCUCAGUUCGGAUUGGGGUCUGCAACUCGACCCCAUGAAGUCGGAGUCGCUAGUAAUCGCAGAUCAGCAACGCUGCGGUGAAUACGUUCUCGGGCCUUGUACAC
rnacentral:rRNA from 1 species